AAGUCGUAACAAGGUCUCCGUAGGUGAACCUGCGGAGGGAUCAUUACCGAGUGAAGGGCCCCCGGGCCCGAUCUCCCACCCUUUGUUUUCUGACCCUGUUGCCUCGGGGGCGACCCUGCCUUCGGGUGUUGGGGCCCCCGGUGGCCUACUUAACUCUGCAUCUUAGCGUCUGAGUAUAAAUUGAAUCAAUCAAAACUUUCAACAACGGAUCUCUUGGCUCUG
rnacentral:misc_RNA from 1 species